AUCUGUGUGACUGCGUACCUUUUGUAUAAUGGGUCAGCGACUUAUAUUCUGUAGCAAGGUUAACCGAAUAGGGGAGCCGAAGGGAAACCGAGUCUUAACUGGGCGUUAAGUUGCAGGGUAUAGACCCGAAACCCGGUGAUCUAGCCAUGGGCAGGUUGAAGGUUGGGUAACACUAACUGGAGGACCGAACCGACUAAUGUUGAAAAAUUAGCGGAUGACUUGUGGCUGGGGGUGAAAGGCCAAUCAAACCGGGAGAUAGCUGGUUCUCCCCGAAAGCUAUUUAGGUAGCGCCUCGUGAAUUCAUCUCCGGGGGUAGAGCACUGUUUCGGCAAGGGGGUCAUCCCGACUUACCAACCCGAUGCAAACUGCGAAUACCGGAGAAUGUUAUCACGGGAGACACACGGCGGGUGCUAACGUCCGUCGUGAAGAGGGAAACAACCCAGACCGCCAGCUAAGGUCCCAAAGUCAUGGUUAAGUGGGAAACGAUGUGGGAAGGCCCAGACAGCCAGGAUGUUGGCUUAGAAGCAGCCAUCAUUUAAAGAAAGCGUAAUAGCUCACUGGUCGAGUCGGCCUGCGCGGAAGAUGUAACGGGGCUAAACCAUGCACCGAAGCUGCGGCAGCGACGCUGAUGCGUUGUUGGGUAGGGGAGCGUUCUGUAAGCCUGUGAAGGUGUGCUGUGAGGCAUGCUGGAGGUAUCAGAAGUGCGAAUGCUGACAUAAGUAACGAUAAAGCGGGUGAAAAGCCCGCUCGCCGGAAGACCAAGGGUUCCUGUCCAACGUUAAUCGGGGCAGGGUGAGUCGACCCCUAAGGCGAGGCCGAAAGGCGUAGUCGAUGGGAAACAGGUUAAUAUUCCUGUACUUGGUGUUACUGCGAAGGGGGGACGGAGAAGGCUAUGUUGGCCGGGCGACGGUUGUCCCGGUUUAAGCGUGUAGGCUGGUUUUCCAGGCAAAUCCGGAAAACUAAGGCUGAGGCGUGAUGACGAGGCACUACGGUGCUGAAGCAACAAAUGCCCUGCUUCCAGGAAAAGCCUCUAAGCAUCAGGUAACAUCAAAUCGUACCCCAAACCGACACAGGUGGUCAGGUAGAGAAUACCAAGGCGCUUGAGAGAACUCGGGUGAAGGAACUAGGCAAAAUGGUGCCGUAACUUCGGGAGAAGGCACGCUGAUAUGUAGGUGAAGUCCCUCGCGGAUGGAGCUGAAAUCAGUCGAAGAUACCAGCUGGCUGCAACUGUUUAUUAAAAACACAGCACUGUGCAAACACGAAAGUGGACGUAUACGGUGUGACGCCUGCCCGGUGCCGGAAGGUUAAUUGAUGGGGUCAGCGCAAGCGAAGCUCUUGAUCGAAGCCCCGGUAAACGGCGGCCGUAACUAUAACGGUCCUAAGGUAGCGAAAUUCCUUGUCGGGUAAGUUCCGACCUGCACGAAUGGCGUAAUGAUGGCCAGGCUGUCUCCACCCGAGACUCAGUGAAAUUGAACUCGCUGUGAAGAUGCAGUGUACCCGCGGCAAGACGGAAAGACCCCGUGAACCUUUACUAUAGCUUGACACUGAACAUUGAGCCUUGAUGUGUAGGAUAGGUGGGAGGCUUUGAAGUGUGGACGCCAGUCUGCAUGGAGCCGACCUUGAAAUACCACCCUUUAAUGUUUGAUGUUCUAACGUUGACCCGUAAUCCGGGUUGCGGACAGUGUCUGGUGGGUAGUUUGACUGGGGCGGUCUCCUCCUAAAGAGUAACGGAGGAGCACGAAGGUUGGCUAAUCCUGGUCGGACAUCAGGAGGUUAGUGCAAUGGCAUAAGCCAGCUUGACUGCGAGCGUGACGGCGCGAGCAGGUGCGAAAGCAGGUCAUAGUGAUCCGGUGGUUCUGAAUGGAAGGGCCAUCGCUCAACGGAUAAAAGGUACUCCGGGGAUAACAGGCUGAUACCGCCCAAGAGUUCAUAUCGACGGCGGUGUUUGGCACCUCGAUGUCGGCUCAUCACAUCCUGGGGCUGAAGUAGGUCCCAAGGGUAUGGCUGUUCGCCAUUUAAAGUGGUACGCGAGCUGGGUUUAGAACGUCGUGAGACAGUUCGGUCCCUAUCUGCCGUGGGCGCUGGAGAACUGAGGGGGGCUGCUCCUAGUACGAGAGGACCGGAGUGGACGCAUCACUGGUGUUCGGGUUGUCAUGCCAAUGGCACUGCCCGGUAGCUAAAUGCGGAAGAGAUAAGUGCUGAAAGCAUCUAAGCACGAAACUUGCCCCGAGAUGAGUUCUCCCUGACUCCUUGAGAGUCCUGAAGGAACGUUGAAG
rnacentral:rRNA from 1 species